rnacentral:lncRNA from 1 species
CCUGCUAUUCAGAAAGUUACAACUGUGCCCUCUCCAGCAAAGUCUGGAUCUCAGCCAGCCCUAAGAGUGUGUCUGUGUCUUGGAGGAGCUCUUUUUGAGAUGCUGUAUCUCAGCCCUAGGGUUUGGGCAAGGCAAGGUCCCUGUUCUUAUGGAGCUAGCACUGAUUCACCCAGGUGCAAGCCCAGAGGCAGUCUAUACCCCAACUCAACUGGCUGGUCCUCAAUGCUGCCUGCUUCCGUGCCCAACUUAGAACUACACAUCUGCUGCCUCUUGGUAACAUGUCAUUAUAAGCCCGAAGUGGACAAAAGCAAGUGAAGGCAUUCAAACAAAUCAUUCAAAGUUGGAAACAGGGUUUGAUGGGACAUCUAUAGCAUGUAGAAAUAUUUAUGAAAAAUGGGGAAAGGCCUGCAGGGAGCACAGUGGGGCGAUUCCUUAUAAAAUCACUUGGAAGUGCUGGGGGUAAGUGAUGUAAGCAUGAGGGAGGCUGGAACUCGCUUGAAAAGGCAUACAAGGCAAGAUGCAUGUGGACAGAUCACACGCUUCCAGGCAUUAUCUUGCAUGUAGAAAAGUGGGAUGCUCAUUUUGUGCCUCCCUCAGAGGAGAUAUUAUCUGAGCACAUGCAAGUAUCUGGAUAUCACCUUCUGGGCCACAGUGAGGAACUCAAGGAGUUGAAAUGGUUUCUGGAGAAAAAGAAAUGCUCAGAAAGAGAGAGUGGCUGAGAGCAGACCUUGGGGAGAGGCUGGGCUGCCACAAUUAGACUCAUGCCUCAGGGACCCCAACACUCACUUCAUGAUGCUUUAUAAGUCUCCAGGAUUCCCGUGAAAUACCACCCUCACUGGACCCAUGCACAAACCCAGGCUUCUUCAUCAGCCCUAACCCUGCCAACCACUCCUGCCUCACUGAAUGUGCCAACGGAUUGCUCAGCUCCAACCAAGGAAAAGAAGAAGGAAGUUGGAUACUUUAUACCCUCUACAUUGUCCAUUAGCAACACAACCUAGAGCUAGGAUGGAGAAAGAAAAUGCCAAAAUGCUAAUGAAAAAUGUUCAGAUGUAUCACAUAUUAAGCAUACAUGAUCUCAAAUAUUUUGCCUGAUUUAUGCUAUGCAUGCUAUUUUCCAUGUUGUGUAGGCUCUGAUGCUAGUCUACAUUUACAGAAAUCUCCAUCAGCUGUACAAAUGGCAAUUUAAAUACAUUUAACUAUGUGCUAAUAAUCUCAUAAUACAAUUUAUCAUGUAUGAUUGGCAGAAGAAAUUAUUUGGGGCAAAAGCUAUGAUUGUAUUGUUGUAAGUUAUUAUGAAUGCUGGGCAGUGUAGGGCAUGGCACUUGCUACCACCUCCCAGAAAUGUGUAAGGGCUGUUGAAGGUGCCUUGUUCUUCUUUCUUCUUCAAUAUAAGCAAAGCUAUUUAUAUCAUAAAGCUGAAACUUGAAAUUCCGUCUGAAGAUUGCCAUUUGAAAUGCUCUUUGAGGGAUGCGAAGUCAACCCUGGAUCCAAAGUAGCUUUGAUGUUUGUCAGGAAAAUGCUGGAAUUCUAUACACUACAGUUUCUACAGAGCAUGAAGAACUCCAACUUCAGACAACCUGCAAAAAAAGUCAGAGAGCAAUUAAAUAUAAAAAUAAAUUCCUUUGAUAAAACAA